UUGAACGCUGGCGGCAUGCUUUACACAUGCAAGUCGAACGGUAACAGGCCUUCGGGUGCUGACGAGUGGCGAACGGGUGAGUAAUGCAUCGGAACGUACCCAGAGGUGGGGGAUAACGCAGCGAAAGCUGUGCUAAUACCGCAUGUGAUCUGAGGAUGAAAGCGGGGGACCGAGCAGCAAUGUUUGGCCUCGCGCCUUUGGAGCGGCCGAUGUCGGAUUAGCUAGUUGGUGGGGUAAAGGCCUACCAAGGCGACGAUCCGUAGCUGGUCUGAGAGGACGACCAGCCACACUGGGACUGAGACACGGCCCAGACUCCUACGGGAGGCAGCAGUGGGGAAUUUUGGACAAUGGGCGCAAGCCUGAUCCAGCAAUGCCGCGUGCGGGAAGAAGGCCUUCGGGUUGUAAACCGCUUUUGGCAGGAACGAAACGGUGUCCGCUAAUACCGGGCGAUAAUGACGGUACCUGCAGAAUAAGCACCGGCUAACUACGUG
rnacentral:rRNA from 1 species